GACGAACGCUGGCGGCGUGCUUAACACAUGCAAGUCGAACGGAAAGGCCCUGCUUUUGUGGGGUGCUCGAGUGGCGAACGGGUGAGUAACACGUGAGUAACCUGCCCUUGACUUUGGGAUAACUUCAGGAAACUGGGGCUAAUACCGGAUAGGAGCUCCUGCUGCAUGGUGGGGGUUGGAAAGUUUCGGAGGUUGGGGAUGGACUCGCGGCUUAUCAGCUUGUUGGUGGGGUAGUGGCUUACCAAGGCUUUGACGGGUAGCCGGCCUGAGAGGGUGACCGGCCACAUUGGAACUGAGAUACGGCCCAGACUCCUACGGGAGGCAGCAGUGGGGAAUAUUGCACAAUGGGCGGAAGCCUGAUGCAGCAACGCCGCGUGCGGGAUGACGGCCUUCGGGUUGUAAACCGCUUUCGCCUGUGACGAAGCGUGAGUGACGGUAAUGGGUAAAGAAGCACCGGCUAACUACGUG
rnacentral:rRNA from 1 species